GCUGGGAGUGGUGGUGCACGCCUGCAGUCCCAGCUACUUGGGAGGCUGAGGCAGGAGGAUCACCUGAGCCCGGGAAGUCGAGGGUGCAGUGAGCCAUGAUGGUGACACUGUACUCCAGCCUGGGUGACAAAGUGAGAUCCUGUCUCAG
ensembl:misc_RNA Metazoa_SRP Metazoan signal recognition particle RNA